ACAAAACAGAAGCCUUCGGGUGGAAGAUUUGUGGAUUGAGCGGCGGACGGGUGAGUAACACGUGGGCAACCUACCUAUAAGACUGGGAUAACUCGUGGAAACAGGAGCUAAUACCGGAUGUAUCGUUUGAACGCAUGUUCAAACAAAUAAAGGCGGCUUUACGGCUGUCACUUAUAGAUGGGCCCGCGGCGCAUUAGCUAGUUGGUGGGGUAAUGGCUCACCAAGGCGACGAUGCGUAGCCGACCUGAGAGGGUGAUCGGCCACACUGGGACUGAGACACGGCCCAGACUCCUACGGGAGGCAGCAGUAGGGAAUCUUCCGCAAUGGACGAAAGUCUGACGGAGCAACGCCGCGUGAACGAUGAAGGUUUUCGGAUCGUAAAGUUCUGUUGUUAGGGAAGAACACGUACCGUUCAAAUAGGGCGGUACCUUGACGGUACCUAACGAGAAAGCCCCGGCUAACUACGUGCCAGCAGCCGCGGUAAUACGUAGGGGGCAAGCGUUGUCCGGAAUUAUUGGGCGUAAAGCGCGCGCAGGCGGUCUUUUAAGUCUGAUGUGAAAUCUUGCGGCUCAACCGCAAGCGGUCAUUGGAAACUGGAAGACUUGAGUGCAGAAGAGGAGAGUGGAAUUCCAUGUGUAGCGGUGAAAUGCGUAGAUAUAUGGAGGAACACC
rnacentral:rRNA from 1 species